CGUAGGGUGCAAGCGUUAAUCGGAAUUACUGGGCGUAAAGCGUGCGCAGGCGGUUUUGUAAGACAGAGGUGAAAUCCCCGGGCUCAACCUGGGAACUGCCUUUGUGACUGCAAGGCUGGAGUGCGGCAGAGGGGGAUGGAAUUCCGCGUGUAGCAGUGAAAUGCGUAGAUAUGCGGAGGAACACCGAUGGCGAAGGCAAUCCCCUGGGCCUGCACUGACGCUCAUGCACGAAAGCGUGGGGAGCAA
rnacentral:rRNA from 1 species